UUUAACUGAAGAGUUUGAUCAUGGCUCAGAUUGAACGCUGGCGGCAGGCUUAACACAUGCAAGUCGAGCGGGGGAAGGUAGCUUGCUACCGGACCUAGCGGCGGACGGGUGAGUAAUG
rnacentral:rRNA from 1 species